UUCACGAUGGCAACCCUGUCGCCGGAGAUGUUCCUGAAGUAGUAGGAGCCACCAAGCCCACUGCCAAUGGGGACCGGAUCCACGCCGCUCCUGAUGGCGGUGACCACGUCGUCGACGAGGCGCUUCACGCGGGCGCAGCUGAUCGAGCAGCCGAGCAUCUCGACCAGGCCGCUGCGAUCCUUGUGCUCGAAGUCCUUGGACACCGGGCAGAGGCAGGGCGUGGAGCAGCUCCGGUUGAUGCUGUUGCGGGUGAGCAGCAGCGGCGAGUCCGGGCGGAUGAAGGAGAGGUCAUUCUCCAGGACGCGGUCGCCGAAGGUGAGCGAGGUCUCGCCGGUGGGCACGUUGAGCGCGAGCUGCAGCCGGCGCUUCACCGUGUGCGCGUUGUCGCUGCGGUCGAGGUCCAUGCCCAGCACGCACCCAGUCUCCGUCUGCACGAACACCCGCCGCCGCCCCGCCCCGCCGAAGAAGCGCCUCAGCAGCAGCGCCGGCACCUGGCUCUUGAUGUGGCUCUCCAGAUUGGGCGACAUGGCAGCCGCGGCAGCAGCAGCAGCUUCCUCCUCUUCUUGGUGCGCGCGCCGUAC
rnacentral:lncRNA from 1 species